GGCUCAGAGAGAACGCUGGCGGCGUGUUCAACACAUGCAAGACGAACGAACCUUCGGGUUAGUGGCGGACGGGUGAGUAACGCGUGAGACUCUGCCCUCAGGAGGGGGAUAACGGUUGGAAACGACCGCUAAUACCCCAUAUGCCGAGAGGUGAAAAGAAAUUCGCCUGAGGAUGAGCUCGCGUCUGAUUAGCUAGUUGGUGUGGUAAUGGCGCACCAAGGCUUCGAUCAGUAGCUGGUCUGAGAGGAUGAUCAGCCACACUGGGACUGAGACACGGCCCAGACUCCUACGGGAGGCAGCAGUGGG
rnacentral:rRNA from 1 species